rnacentral:rRNA from 1 species
UACGUAGGGUCCGAGCGUUGUCCGGAAUUACUGGGCGUAAAGGGCGCGUAGGCGGCCUUCUAAGUCGAACGUGAAAUCCCCGGGCUCAACCCGGGAACUGCGUCCGAUACUGGAAGGCUUGAAUCCGGGAGAGGGAUGCGGAAUUCCAGGUGUAGCGGUGAAAUGCGUAGAUAUCUGGAGGAACACCGGUGGCGAAGGCGGCAUCCUGGACCGGUAUUGACGCUGAGGCGCGAAAGCCAGGGGAGCAAACGGG